rnacentral:rRNA from 1 species
AACGAACGCUGGCGGCAGGCUUAAUACAUGCAAGUCGUGGGGCAGCGCAGUGUAGCAAUACAUGGGCGGCGACCGGCAAACGGGUGCGUAACACGUACGCAACCUUCCCGUUACUGGGGAAUAGCCCAGGGAAACUUGGAUUAAUACCCCAUAUUAUAUUGAUUGGGCAUCUAAUUAAUAUCAAAGCUUCGGCGGUAACGGAUGGGCGUGCGGUUGAUUAGGUAGUUGGCGGGGUAACGGCCCACCAAGCCUACGAUCAAUAGCUGAUGUGAGAGCAUGAUCAGCCACACGGGCACUGAGACACGGGCCCGACUCCUACGGGAGGCAGCAGUAAGGAAUAUUGGGCAAUGGACGAAAGUCUGACCCAGCCAUGCCGCGUGGAGGAUGAAGGUCCUCUGGAUUGUAAACUUCUUUUUUCUGGGGCGAAAACCGGUUUUUCUAAACCAUUUGACAGUACCAGAAGAAUAAGCACCGGCUAACUCCGUGCCAGCCGCCGCGGUAAUAC